GGCUCAAUGGUCUAGUAGCAUGAUACGUGCUUCGGGAGGAAACCCGCCACAAGGUUUGUGGCCAAGAUGUACGUGACCCGGGUUCAAUUCCCGGUUGAGCCC
rnacentral:tRNA from 1 species